CGGCGAACGGGUGAGUAACGCGUGGAUAACCUGCCUCGAGGUGGGGAAUAACCCGGGGAAACUCGGGCUAAUACCGCAUAAUAUCGAGAGAUCAAAGGGGGCGCAAGCUCCUGCCAUGAGAGGGGUCCGCGUUCGAUUAGCUAGUUGGCAGGGUAACGGCCUACCAAGGCGACGAUCGAUAGCCGGCCUGAGAGGGUGAUCGGCCACACUGGAACUGAGACACGGUCCAG
rnacentral:rRNA from 1 species